rnacentral:rRNA from 1 species
CCUACGGGGGGCAGCAGUGGGGGAUAUUGCACAAUGGGGGAAACCCUGAUGCAGCGACGCCGCGUGGGUGAAGAAGCGCCUCGGCGCGUAAAGCUCUGUCAGUAGGGAAGAAAAUGACGGCACCUGAAGAAGAAGCCCCGGCUAACUACGUGCCAGCAGCCGCGGCAAUACGUAGGGGGCAAGCGUUAUCCGGAUUUACUGGGUGUAAAGGGGGCGCAGACGGCGGUGCAAGUCAGGAGUGAAAGCCCGGGGCCCAACCCCGAGACUGCUCUUGGAACUGCGUGGCUAGAGUGCAGGAGGGGCAGGCGGAAUUCCUGGUGUAGCGGUGAAAUGCGUAGAUAUCAGGAGGAACACCGGUGGCGAAGGCAGCCUGCUAGACUGCAACUGACAUUGAGGCCCGAAAGCGUGGGGAGCAAACAGGAUUAGAUACCCCAGUAGUC